GGAAUAUUGGGCAAUGGAGGAAACUCUUACCCAGCAAUGCCGCGUGAAUGAAGAAGGCCUUCGGGUUGUAAAGUUCUUUUAUUGAUGAUAAAGAAAGUGAUAUUAGUCAAUGAAUAAGCCCCGGCUAACUAUGUGCCAGCAGCCGCGGUAAUACAUAGGGGGCGAGCGUUGUCCGGAAUGACUGGGCGUAAAGGGUGUGUAGGCGGUUAUGCAAGUUAAAAGUGAAAUCCCCGGGCUUAACUCGGGUGCUGCUUUUAAGACUGUAUGACUUGAGUGCAGUAGAGAAAAGUGGAAUUCCUAGUGUAGCGGUGGAAUGCGUAGAUAUUAGGAGGAACACCAGAGGCGAAGGCGACUUUUUGGACUGUAACUGACGCUGAGGCACGAAAGUGUGGGGAGCAAACA
rnacentral:rRNA from 1 species